rnacentral:lncRNA from 1 species
AAACCAUCCUACCCCUCCUCGCCUUGAUGAUGGUGAUUGAUAAGUUUUAAUCUUUCAGCACCUGGUGUUAACAAGGCAGGCUUCACAGCACCAAAACAACAACAAAGAAAAACCUAAAACAUCAUUUACAGAUUGGCAGCCUGAUCCAGAGCCUGCACUUGACUCCGUUUUCCAGACACUGUGAGGAGAAAAUCCAGCCUGCUGAAAAGCCACAGGAGACAUGAAGACUGUGAGGUGUUUGCUGGCUGGGUGGAAAGAGGCCUGCAGGCAGGGCCGGCCUACCUGUGAGUGCAUUCGAAGGCAGCGUCCCCCAGACGUGCGGCCAGGAACAGCGCCUCAUUCCUGGGCGCAGCGCUUGGCGAAGAUGCUGGCAUACCCAAAUUGAUGGUUACAAAGACAGCGAGCACCCGGAAGGAAAAUGGAAGGUGCCAGGAAAGGGGCUCCUGGGCCUACUCACCAGGAAGUCCAGUCCUCACCAGCCCCGAGGCCUGGUCUGCAUCCUCAGCCUCACAGAAGCUCAACCAGUCACU